ACAUCUCCUGCACUGCAGGUGGAUUCUUUACCUGUUGAGCCACUGGGGAAACCCCAUCCUAUGACUUACCUGUAUCUCAAAUGUCCAGGAAGAAUCAAUGUGGGAAAAUGCUUUAAGGUUCUGCGUGAAGUGAAAAGGAUUACACCUUUGCAUGGUACAAGAAAGUUGAAAUAAUAUGUGGGAUUCUCCCAGGGACCUAGAUACCUUGAAAAUAUGGGCUGGUGAGUGACCAGCUUUAAAAAGGUGUGAACAUGCUCCACAAUUUAAAAAGGCCUCACCUCUGUCAUGGAAAUUCUUCUUAGUCAUUGUGGCAGUUCCUGUUUUUUCUGCCUGAGCUUCAGAGAGCACAGAUUGGACAAGCAUUGCUAUGAUGAUACAAUGCUCAGGAGGAACCCGGAACAAGAUGAAGGCUUGCCAUCAGGAAGCUUAAGAACAUCUGAGUGUUCCUCUCCCACCUGCUGGAUCAUGAUCAAGAAUAACAACAGCUGAUAUGUACUGAAUAUUGACAAGCCUCAGGUGCUGUGCUAAGAGAGUCUGCUGUGAGACAAUGGAGAAUGCAUGAGUAGAGAAGACACGUACCAUACAUGUGUUCACCAUUCCUCACUGCCCCCAUGAUGUUGGCAGUUCCCCCAAGAGCACAGAAUUCCAGUGGGAGCCCAGUGAGAUGCAAAGUGGGCACCCGUUCGCAGUAACAGUGGUCUCCAACGUCGAGUGCAGGUAGAACUGACACUCCUGAAUGAAUAUGAGGAAACCCCAGGCAAAUUCAGGUUCACCACAUAUACUCAGGGACGUCAGAUCCACCCCCAAACCAGAAGUGCUAUUUCUCCGUUGGCGUCUUCACACGCGACAGAGAAGACAAACACCUGUUGACUUAAAGAACAGAAGGGUUUUCGACUUCCUUCCGAAAGGAGUAACAGAAGCAACCCUACCGCCUCCGAGGCUGUGAAAGACUCUUCCACCACUGGACAGAAAAACGAGGAGACAGUCUCAUGAGCGAGGCCCGUGAGUGACGUGGAGAGCGGAUGUCAGGCCCGCUGACCUCUUCGACUCGGCACCACCGAGUCCGGAAGCAUGGGGUGGCCAUCUACUCGGCCUCUUUAGCUGCUGCUGCUUCCCCACGGCAGGCUUAGUGCGAGUCCGUGUCCCGAUCUCACGUCCUACCCCAUCGCUUCCGCUAGCUCUGGAGCCAAGAGGUGGCAAGGGCACUGCUGAUUCUAACUUCCAGGCCCACCUUCCCCAGUCCCAUCCCCUCUGCUGAAGGAGAUUCCCUUCUCAUGGGAAUCUGGUAGGCCCGCCAGCACCCCCAGGAGGAAAAAGUCACUCACUUCUUUAGAAG